rnacentral:rRNA from 1 species
UCAACUAAGAGUUUGAUCCUGGCUCAGGAUAAACGUUGGCGGCGUGCCUAACACAUGCAAGUCGAACGAACCUGUGUUAAGAAGCUUCGGUGGAUUGACACAGCGUUAGUGGCGAAUGGGUGAGUAAUGCAUAGGUAACUUGCCCCUAAGACUGGGAUAACUUUUCGAAAGGAAAGCUAAUACCAGAUAUUCUCUUUAAAUCAUAUGAUUUAAAGAGGAAAUGAAUUUCGCUUAGGGAUAGGCUUAUGUCUGAUUAGCUUGUUGGUGGGGUAAAAGCCUACCAAGGCAAUGAUCAGUAGCUGGUCUGAGAGGAUGGUCAGCCACACUGGGACUGAGAUACGGCCCAGACUCCUACGGGAGGCAGCAGUGAGGAAUAUUGCGCAAUGGGGGCAACCCUGACGCAGCGACGUCGCGUGAAUGAUGAAGUCUCUAGGGAUGUAAAGUUCUGUCAAGAGGGAGUAUAAUGAUAGUACCUCUAAAGGAAGCUCCGGCUAAUUACGUGCCAGCAGCCGCGGUAAUACGUAAGGAGCGAACGUUAUCCGGAUUUACUGGGUAUAAAGUGCGCGUAGGCGGUUACUUAAGUUAGGUGUUAAAUCCUUUAGCUCAACUAAAGUCUGCAUCUAAAACUGGGUAACUAGAGAGUAGUAGAGGAAAGCGGAACUCACAGUGUAGCGGUGAAAUGCAUAGAUAUUGUGAGGAACACCGGUUGCGAAGGCGGCUUUCUGGCCUAUUUCUGACGCUGAGGUGCGAAAGCGUGGGGAGCGAACGGGAUUAGAUACCCCGGUAGUCCACGCCGUAAACGUUGUUCACUGGGUGUUGGAGGUAUCGACCCCUUCAGUGCCGAAGAUAAUUCGUUAAGUGAACCACCUGGGGAGUACGACCGCAAGGUUAAAACUCAAAGGAAUUGACGGGGGCCCGCACAAGCAGUGGAGCAUGUGGUUUAAUUCGAUGAUACGCGAAAAACCUUACCAAGGCUUGACAUCUAUCGAAGUUUCUAGAAAUAGAGAUGUGCCCUUCGGGGAACGGUAAGACAGGUGGUGCAUGGCUGUCGUCAGCUCGUGUCGUGAGAUGUUGGGUUAAGUCCCGCAACGAGCGCAACCCUUGUCUUGUGUUGCCAGCACGUUAUGGUGGGAACUCACAAGAUACAGCCUGUAAAAAGCAGGAGGAAGGUAGGGACGACGUCAAGUCAUCAUGCCCCUUAUGUCUUGGGCUACACACAUGCUACAAUGGCCGGUACAAAGAGUCGCUAAGCCGCAAGGCCAUGCCAAUCUCAAAAAACCGGUCUCAGUUCGGAUUGCAGUCUGUAACUCGGUUGCAUGAAGUUGGAAUUGCUAGUAAACGUAGAUCAGCACGCUACGUUGAAUACGUUCCCGGGCCUUGUACACACCGCCCGUCACACCAUGAAAGUUGAAAACGCCCGAAGCCGAUGUACCAACCUCUUCGGAGGAGGAAGUCGUCGAAGGCAGGGUCAGCGAUUGGGGUGAAGUCGUAACAAGGUAGCCGUACCGGAAGGUGUGGCUGGAUCACCUCCUUU